ensembl:lncRNA
GCGACCCCACACAGUGCAGUGGUGUAUUUUGUCCGGUGCUGCUGUUCACGUGUGGGCAGUUAGUAUCAUUUACUAAGAAAUGAAAGUGAAACUUCUAUCAAUAAUUAUAAAAAGGCAGGGGGGGAUGCACUGGACAAAAUAUACCACUGCACUGUGGAUAUCUGCGCAUAACUACGGAUACACUCUCUGUAUCAUCUGAAUGUGGACAGAUCAUGGGCUGGGAAGGAAUAUGUAAAUCCUUCAUAUUUUACUGUUUAUGUUAUUAAUUAUUUUUCAUGCAGUGUAAUUUAAUGAAUUUCUUACUCCAUGCGCGAUUUUGUUCACUCUUUGUCUUUCAAGGGAGUCGUUAUAGUCGGAGGAGGUGCUGGCACUGUGGCUCUGGCUCCAGCCAUUCUGGCUGCACUGGGUUCACUCCAGCUGGAAUAGCAGCAGGCUCCAUUGCUGCCAAACUGAUGUCAUAUUUUGCAGUUGCUAAUGGAGGAGGAGUUGCAGCAGGAGGUCUCAUAGCAACCCUGCAGUCCUGGGGUAUGGGAGGUCUGACGGGAGCUGGCAUUGGAGGUGUUGCUGGUGCUGGAGGAACAGUGGGUUGGCUGCUCUCAACCAUUUGUAACCAGACUGGAACACGUUAAGAUUUACACUAUGAACAAAUACCAGAUGUUUAGUCAUGUGACAGAUCUCAAAUGAAGCAUCAUUUUAGAAACGUCAGACACUCAGCUUAAAGCAAAAUUUGAAAAUUAAAUUAAAUAUAUGGUGGAUUAAGAUUACUGCUAUUUUGAAUGCAUCAUUUUUAGGUAUCAUUGUAGAGCAUGAAGCUGUUUGAUCUGAACCCAAGACUGAUACGAAGAAAUUUUCUGAAUUUAAUGUGAAAAUAAAAAU